UAAUUUUUAUUUAGAACAAAGUUUUAUAAUUUUUUUAGAUAUUUUCAUGGGAGAAAAGGGAAGUCUUGCAUGUUGAUUAGAAUAUAUGACCUACCUGGUUUUUACAUUUUGGAAUUUAAAAUUAUGUUUGUGCACAAAUACAUACCCAAUUUUUGUAUGUGUUUCAUAGAUGUUUUAUAAACCUGUUAUAGUUUAGGUUCCAUUACUUACUGAAUUCUUUCACUGAGAUAAUAAUAAUGUGUAGGGGAGAAAAAGAUAUUUUUUACUCUACAUUUAUAAGUUUUUGCCUGGGACUCCCUACAGCAUAUGACAGAUUAACAACAGAAAAACAAACAAGUUUAUUAACAUGUAUACCUCAGAUAUACAUGAGAGAUACCCAGAGAAAAAUGAAUAACUCAGAAUUCAAGUGUAUGUAGUAUCUUCACCUAAAAGCAAAGAAAAAGGAGGAUGUGACAGAGGCCAGUUAUGGGAAAAUGACCAGGAGAAGCGUGAUAAACAAAAGUAAGAUUUGUUAUGCAGAUUUCAGUUAGCACCUUUCACAUUGAUAAGAGUCUUUUGUAAUUUAACCAUCCUUGUCUUCCUGGUACAAAGAGGGAGAAUCCCUCAUAAAUGGAGAUAUAAAUUUCUCUUACAAAAGGGUAAUUUCUACUGUAUUUUCAGAGCUUAUCCUGUUUCUCAGAAUAAUCAGCUCAAAACAAUUCUUAUGCCAAAGAGGCAUUUUUGGUUUCUACAGUCUUAUUUUGGGGUGGCAUAUUAUAGUCUCCUACAAAUGCCCACCUUUUUGUUCUUAAAACUCUUCCAGAACUUUGGGAUCCUCUUCUAGGUAGGUAGUUCCUCCUCUGUUUUCCUUGUAAGUCUUUGAAAAAGUGAACACAUGUUGGAUCUGCUUUCACAUUUUCUGUUCACUCUUCAAUAUUUUGGAGCCCGCAUUUCAUUUCCAAAAGGCACCCCCAGUUACCAAUCUAAUUUCUUAAUUGUUACAUGCAAGGGACCAGUCACAGUCCUUCUUUUCUACCUUAGUUGUCUCAAUUUGCAGCCACAAUUUGGAGAAAAAAACUUUACAAUUAAUUUUCUACUCUAAGAAUAUAUGUCUUCUUUUAUGUCUCAUUUUAGAAAGAGGCUAUUUAAUUUUCUAAGGUUUAAAAGAGUAGUGAGGUGAUAGGAAAUGAAGAAAAGGUAGUUAAUAUGUUUCAGUUGGAGAACUAAAGAGUGGAAUAUUAAAAUUUAUCUUCAGUUCAAGAUUUAAACUAAGUCACUGUAAAAUUCUUGCUGCAUGUGUCGAAAGAUGAAAUCGCAACAAAUUUAGUUUAGAGAUCUACAUUGGCUGUAUUGUAAUUCUAGAAUCGGGCAACAUUUCAUUCCAUAAACUAUAAUAACUGUUUCAAUGAGUCGAAUGGAGGAGGUUGGCUUUAUAGACAGAAAAAAAGGGCUGAAGAAGGCAGAAAUAAAGCACAAAAAGCAGAUUGAUCAUUUCAGAGUCAUUUUCCUUGUAAGGCAGGGACAGAGAGGCAGAACAAUAGAAAGAUAAUGUAACUGGGGGUUGGGGUACAGGGGCUCAGCUCCCUCCCGACGUUUGCCAAAGAUGUAACGGGGGGGGGAGGGAGCAAAGCUGUAGGGCAUCCAAAGGUGCUUCCUAUUGCAUCAAUCAGACAGGCGCAGGGCACAGCUCCCUCCCUGGUCCGAUGUGUCCCUGGAUGUGCCCUGGCCUUUGAUCUCUCUUACUCCAGGAAUAGGGAACGUUUCCUAGAGGCACCAUGAGCUUACUGUUGGAAUAAAUAUCUUGAACCCAAAGAGUUUAGCAGAGAGCAAUUUAUUAGGCAGAGAGAUAAAGAGAGAAGGAACGAGAGAGCUCCCACGCUGUAGUGGGAGGGAUUCAAGGGAGGAAUCUGCACAGCUUCCAUGAUGAUUUCACUUGCAGAGCUGCUGGAACUCUAGCUCUGGAAACAUACCAUGCAGUGUUCUUCCGAUGUCAGCUUUCUUGGUGCCAGGACAGAGGAUGGGGGAAUAGAUGCAGAAUGUGUAUGACACUGCAGGGUCCAGCUUCUAGGUAAUGCCUGGGAAUUAAGCAGAAGAAGGCCAAAGGACACAGAUCAGGGGGAAAUAACCAGCAACCUUGAAGCUGGAACAUGUCAUAAAAGGGGAGAUUGAAUUCAUGGACUGGGAGUUGGAGGCUACUUAGAAAGAUACUGCAGAAAUGUGUGUUUUGCUAUAAGCUUUGGUGUUAUAGAGAAUUAUAGGCUCUUCACACCCCUUUCUAAUUUUCUUAUCCCAAAUUUUCUCAACUCAAGAUGGUUUCAAGUGGUCACUAUACUUGAGCUUCAGAAUAAUUAUAAUAGGGCAUGUGGUGGCCAGGAGAGAAAAAUGACUGAGUGACUGUGGGAAUUGACAAAUAUUUAUUUUAGUUUGUGAUAUUGUAACUUACUGUAUUACAGUUUCAAAAUCACUUCUCAAAGACUAAUUCUUGUUCUGAAUUUGCAGGAAUUUUUAAUGCUCUAUUUAACUAAAAAGUGUAAUAUUUAAUAGGCAUUUAGAAUUUAUUUAUUGUCUAUGAUUUCCCUGGCAUUUAUUUGAGAGUUAAAGUUAUAAAAAAGGCAGUCAGCUAAACUUUUAUCAUGGCUUAGUUCUCAGUCUCCUAUGAUAGAACCAUAUGGAGUUAUCCUGUCUAUAAUGGUAGCCAUUUGUUCCAUAUGGCUAAUGAGCACUUGAAAUGUGGCUAGUGAAUUGAGGUAUAUUGUAAAUAUAGAUUACACACUGAAAUUUGAAGCAUUAGUAUGGAAAAAUGUAAGAUUUCCAUUGUUAAUUUUUAUAGCGAUUACUUGCUGAAAUAAUAUUUCAACAAGUAAUCGCUAUAAAAAUUAUUAAUAGAAAUGUUAAUAAACAUUAACUAUAAUUGGGUUAAAUAUAAUAGUAAAGUUGAUUUCAUAUGUUUCUUUUUAUCUUUUAUAAUGUGGCUGCUUGAAAAUUUAAGAUUAUAUAAGGUAUUUGUAUUUGAGGCUCACAUGAUAUAUUGAUUGGACAUCACUAGUCUAGGAUGUAUGUUAAAAUAGCAAGUUAUCAUGUUCCAUUCACAGACAUUGUAACCACCCAACAGAUUCAUCUUGCUAUUGCCUAAACAGAGCCAGUUUAUCUAGAUUAGCUCCCCUAGACAGGGGGAUUGCCGUGGAGAAAGAGUAAUUCACACUGAGCCAGCUGUGUGGGACCAGAGCUUUAUUAUUACUCAAAUCAGUCUCCCUGAGCAUUGGGGGAUCAGAGUUUUUAAAGAUAUGUUGGCAGGUAGAGCCUUAGGAAGUGGGGAGUGAUGACUGGUCAGGUUGCAGAUGGAAUUGUAGUGGGAUCCAAGUGAGAUUUCCUCGUUGUUUUCUGUUCCAGGGUGAGAUCACAGAACUGGUUGAGCCAGAUUACUGGUCUGGGUGGUAUAAGCUGAUCCACUGAGGCAGGGUCUGCAAAAUCUAUCAAGCACUGACCUUAGGCUUUACAAUAGUAAUGUUAUCCCCAGGAGCACUUUGGGGAGGUUCAGACUCUUGCAGCCAGAGGCUGCAUAACCCCUAAACAGUAAUUUCUAAUCUUAUAGCUAAUUUGAUAGUCCUACAGAGGCAGACUGGUCCCAGGUAACAAAGGGGGCCUUUUCAGGAAAGGGCUAUUAUCAAUUUUGUUUCAAAGUCAAACUAUAAAUUAAAUUACUUUCCAAGGUUACUUCAGCCCAUGUCCAGAAAUGAGUAAGGACAGCGGAAAUGUUAGAAGGAAGAUGGAGUCGGUUAGGUUUCAUCUUUUUCACUGUCAUAAUUUCCUCAGCUAUAAUUUUUUAAAGGCAGUUUCAACAUUCUAAUUCAGGUCUGUGGUUGUGAAUCGAAAAUAUGUAUUUUCAAACAAGCACCUCGGAUGUGAUCUAAGGACCAUACUUUGAAAACAAAAAGCCUUGAGUGCAGAGUAGUCAUAGAGACAGACAGUUGAGUAAUAAAGAAAAGUGAUUAAAGAAUAGUAAAGCCUAUGGCAGAAGAAAGUUCAGUGUAUUGUAAAACGCUACAUUGAGAAUUUUGAACAAGAGGAAGUGAGUCAAAGUAAGUUUUCCAGAGAAAUAAACUGAGUCCUAAAUACUGAGGAGUUACCCAGGUGAAGAUGAGGUCUUUCUUCCGAGUAGGGACCAGUGCAAAGGUCACAGGUGAAAACAAGACAGCUUGGUGCACUGUCAGGACCAAAAUUUAUUAUCUGGCUGGAGAGAGAUGAUGGAGAUUGGGAGAAAAAGAGAUGAUUCAAGAAAAAUUGGUCAUGAAGAACUUGUAAGCUAUGUUAUGAAAUCUGGAUUUUAUUUUAAGACAAUAGAACAUUAUUGAAAAUAUUUUAAGGAAUGCAGUAGCAGUGUAAAAUGGGUAGUAGGAGUAUCUUGUAGUCAGGAAUGUAUCAAUUACACCAUUGUCAUGGAAUUAAAGUGGAAGUAUUCACUUGAAGUUAGUUUGUUUUUAAUGUAGACUAUGACUUUUAUGAUUUUUUCCCUCUUUGUUGUGAUGACUUAGAAAUGUAAAUCCAAAUUUGUGAGUCUGUGUAGGCGUAUACAUGACAGAAUGGUUUAAAUUUCUGUGAUACAGUGUUACUAGUGAAAUUACCAUUUUUCUCCCCUUAAUUUCCUUUGCCUCUUAUGUUCUGAAUUAAUUUGUUUGUGUUUUGUGCAAUUUUGUUUUGUGUA